rnacentral:tRNA from 1 species
GUGGUCAUGGUGUAGUGGUAGCACAGGGGCUUGUGGAGCCCUUAGCAUGGGUUCAAUCCCCAUUGGCCACCCCA